rnacentral:rRNA from 1 species
CAGCCGCCGCGGUAAAACGAAGGGUGCAAGCGUUAAUCGGAAUUACUGGGCGUAAAGCGUGCGUAGGCGGUGAGUUAAGUCUGCUGUGAAAUCCCCGGGCUCAACCUGGGAAUGGCAGUGGAUACUGGCUCGCUAGAGUGUGUCAGAGGAUGGUGGAAUUCCCGGUGUAGCGGUGAAAUGCGUAGAGAUCGGGAGGAACAUCAGUGGCGAAGGCGGCCAUCUGGGACAACACUGACGCUGAGGCACGAAAGCGUGGGGAGCAAAUAGGAUUAGAUACCCCCGUAGUCCCUGUCUCUUAUAC